CCGAGAUAAUGCAUUGUUGAGAUCUUUUCAACAAUACAUUUAAAUUUAACAAAAUACAGUAUAAAAGUUCAUGAAUUUUAGAAGUAUAAAAUUAAGAUUACCAACAUUGGUAAAAAAAAUUGCAAUCGAUGGUUAAAAUAUUGAUCGAUUAUUCGAUGAGUUGGAGUACAAGGGUUUCCUUUUAAGAGAUCAGCUGCAUUCGGUUUGCAUAUCAACUGUUUGCGUUUUUGCGCAGGGACGACUUUCCUCACGUUUCAAUAAUUCAUCGAAUGGAAGCUUCAAAAGCAGAAGUAUGAACUCAUUUCAGUUUCGAGUCAAAUUGGGCACAUAAAGAGGGACGAAGGGAGUAGAGCAGAAACUAAGAGCUCACCGAUGGCGACGACUACUUUAGCGAGCACUGGGUUCAAUGGCGCAACAUAUGGGACUCUAACUGCAAGCACACCGAGUAGAUGGUGAACAGCAAUAUAUUAUAUGUGUGAGUAAAAAUACAAAAUGUAAGGGUUGUUAAUGUUACGAGGAUAUAUUAGACGGAAUGCGAAUCCAUAUAUUCUACGGAAUGUUGGUCCAUCGAGCACCGGGUUACUUAUAUGCUCUGGCCCUGCACAACAAGUAGAUAGAUGGGUAAGCAAACAAGAUUAUACUGUAUAAAAAUACAGACAACUAUGAAAAACAAAGAAUUCUUACCGGUGUA